rnacentral:rRNA from 1 species
GAUGAACGCUAGCUACAGGCUUAACACAUGCAAGUCGAGGGGCAGCAUGAAGUCAGCUUGCUGACUUUGAUGGCGACCGGCGCACGGGUGAGUAACGCGUAUCCAACCUUCCCCUUACUCAGGAAUAGCCCGUUGAAAGACGGAUUAAUGCCUGAUGUUCUCUUUUUCCGGCAUCGGUAAUAGAGCAAAGAUUCAUCGGUAAGGGAUGGGGAUGCGUAUGAUUAGCUUGUUGGCGGGGUAACGGCCCACCAAGGCAACGAUCAUUAGGGGUUCUGAGAGGAAGGUCCCCCACACUGGAACUGAGACACGGUCCAG